GCGCAGCGAUGCGUUGAGCUAACCGGUACUAAUGACCCGUGAGGCUUAACCUUACAACACCAGAAGCGUUCUG
rnacentral:rRNA from 1 species